GAUGAACGCUGGCGGCGUGCCUAAUACAUGCAAGUCGAGCGAACGGACGAGAAGCUUGCUUCUCUGAUGUUAGCGGCGGACGGGUGAGUAACACGUGGAUAACCUACCUAUAAGACUGGGAUAACUUCGGGAAACCGGAGCUAAUACCGGAUAAUAUUUUGAACCGCAUGGUUCAAAGGUGAAAGACGGUCUUGCUGUCACUUAUAGAUGGAUCCGCGCUGCAUUAGCUAGUUGGUAAGGUAACGGCUUACCAAGGCAACGAUGCAUAGCCGACCUGAGAGGGUGAUCGGCCAGACUGGAACUGAGACACGGUCCCGACUCCUACGGGAGGCAGCAGUAGGGAAUCUUCCGCAAUGGGCGAAAGCCUGACGGAGCAACGCCGCGUGAGUGAUGAAGGUCUUCGGAUCGUAAAACUCUGUUAUUAGGGAAGAACAUAUGUGUAAGUAACUGUGCACAUCUUGACGGUACCUAAUCAGAAAGCCACGGCUAACUACGUG
rnacentral:rRNA from 1 species